AAGUUAGAUAGAGUGCAAACAAUGUAUCCGUGAAACACUAAUCAUUAAAGUGUUCAAAAUAGUGCUAGUUAAACAAUGUGUAAUAGUCAAAUAGACACAAAAGAAGACAAUGGAAUUGGGUCUGCUAAUGUGUAUUGGUCUAAUAUCUAUUUCACGGGUUUCAUGACUUCACUCUAGAAUUAGCAUAAAAUAGUGUAAGUUAGUAAUACUAAUAUUUCACUGAUAUAUUGUUUGCACUCUAAAAUAAUGAUAGUGUAGUUCAGUGAGCRAAACAACUUCUCCUCAUACAGUAUCAUAGAAUUUCUUUAUUAUGGGGUAGCACAUUUAUUGAUUAUUUUGCAUUUAUACAUGCUGGCAGCCGAAUGCUUGAUAGCAUUUAUGAAUAAUAACAGAUUGCCUACUCUACAAGUAAAACUCUUUCAAAAUCUACUCACUUUGGCAAAGUAUGUACAGCCUUGAUACAAGAAGAUAGGUAUUGUGAUAUUUUUCAUUAGUGAAGUUUUAAAACUUWUCUUUAAUUGUAUGAUAUAUUAUUAAUAUUAUUAUCAUAUUUACAUGUAGUUUUAAUAUUUUCUGUUCUGUUCAUGGCUGCAUCAUAAAAACAAGUGGUCUUGUUGCUUUCAAUAGCCUAGUACACUGUGAACAGUCCCUCUCAUAAGGUCAUUGUUUGGUGUUCACUUUGGUUGAUAUUAUCUAGCCUUACCCCCAGGGGAGGGGACUAGGGGGAUCAUGGCUCACACCCAAUCCUCUCUUCAUCAAAGAAAUAUAUUAAGACUGACCAAGAAAAACAGAGUCUGCUAAGCAGCCCUCUGUAAUAUGGCUGGUGGAGUUUUUUUUUAAUGGCUAGUUUACAUAACUAGCACAAUUAUGAUAGCAUUUGCCUGUCACUGUAGGCUGCUAAUGAGAUUGGUUUAGCUAAGUAACCUAUCAGUAAUGAUUGAUUCAGUCUGCUUAAGAAUAACAAGUAAAUGUCUGGUAGCUCA